AGAGUUUGAUCCUGGCUCAGGAUGAACGCUAGCGGCAGGCCUAAUACAUGCAAGUCCAGGGGCAGCACGAGGACUUGUAGUUGGUGGCGACCGGCGCACGGGUGCGUAACGCGUAUGCAACCUACCUAUAACUGGGGAAUAGCCCCGAGAAAUCGGGAUUAAUACCUCAUAAUAAUACUUUUUGGCAUGUUGAUUAGAUCAAAGAUUUAUCGGUUCAAGAGGGGUAUGCGUGACAUUAGCUAGUUGGUGAGGUAACGGCCCACCAAGGCUACGAUGUCUAGGGGUUCUGAGAGGAUGAUCCCCCACACUGGUACUGAGACACGGACCAGACUCCUACGGGAGGCAGCAGUGAGGAAUAUUGCGCAAUGGAGGAAACUCUGACGCAGCCAUGCCGCGUGAAGGAAUGAAGCCCUAUGGGUUGUAAACUUCUUUUAUAUGGGAAGAAACUUUUCUACUUGUAGAAAACUGACGGUACCAUACGAAUAAGCACCGGCUAACUCCGUGCCAGCAGCCGCGGUAAUACGGAGGGUGCAAGCGUUAUCCGGAUUCAUUGGGUUUAAAGGGUACGUAGGCGGAUAAAUAAGUCAGUGGUGAAAUCUCUCGGCUCAACCGAGAAACUGCCAUUGAUACUGGAAGUCUUGAGUUUAGAUGAAGUAGGCGGAAUAUGUCAUGUAGCGGUGAAAUGUAUAGAUAUGACAUAGAACACCGAUAGCGAAGGCAGCUUACUAAUCUAUAACUGACGCUUAUGCACGAAAGCGUGGGUAGCAAACAGGAUUAGAUACCCUGGUAGUCCACGCUGUAAACGAUGUUCACUCGUUGUUGGCGAUACAUAGUCAGCGACUAAGCGAAAGUGAUAAGUGAACCACCUGGGGAGUACGAUCGCAAGGUUGAAACUCAAAGGAAUUGACGUGGGCCCGCACAUGCGGCGGAGCAUGUGGUUUAAUUCGAUGAUACGCGAGGAACCUUACCUGGGCUCAAAUGUAGAUUGACAGUUUUUGAAAACAGAUCUCCCUUCCGGACAUUUUACAAGGUGCUGCAUGGUUGUCGUCAGCUCGUGCCGUGAGGUGUCGGGUUAAGUCCCAUAACGAGCGCAACCCCUAUCCUUAGUUGCCAUCAGAUAAUGCUGGGGACUCUAAGGAAACUGCCUACGCAAGUAGUGAGGAAGGUGGGGAUGACGUCAAAUCAGCACGGCCCUUAUGUCCAGGGCUACACACGUGCUACAAUGGUCGGUACAGAGGGUCGCUACCUGGUGACAGGAUGCUAAUCUCAAAAACCGGUCUCAGUUCGGAUCGAAGUCUGCAACUCGACUUCGUGAAGUUGGAUUCGCUAGUAAUCGCAUAUCAGCAAUGGUGCGGUGAAUACGUUCCCGGGCCUUGUACACACCGCCCGUCAAGCCAUGGGAGCUGGGGGUACCUGAAGACGGUGACUUAACAGAGAGCUGUCUAGGGUAAAACUGGUAACUGGGGCUAAGUCGUAACAAGGUAACC
rnacentral:rRNA from 1 species